CCUACGGGAGGCAGCAGUGAGGAAUAUUGGUCAAUGGACGCAAGUCUGAACCAGCCAUGCCGCGUGCAGGAAGACGGCUCUAUGAGUUGUAAACUGCUUUAGCAAGAGGGGAAACGCAGAUAAGCGUAUCUGUCUGAUAGUAUCGUACGAGUAAGGAUCGGCUAACUCAGAGCCAGCAGCCGCGGGAAUACGGAGGAUUCAAGCGUUAACCGGAUCUAUUGGGUUUAAAGGGUGCGUAGGCGGUCGGAUAAGUUAGAGGUGAAAUCCCGAGGCUCAACUUCGGUGUUGCCUCGGAAACUGUUCGGCUAGAGUGUAGUUGCGGUAGGCGGAAUGUAUGGUGUAGCGGUGAAAUGCUUAGAGAUCA
rnacentral:rRNA from 1 species